rnacentral:sRNA from 1 species
AAAGAAAUAGUGUAAAUGUUUUCAUUAACAGAUAAUUUGAAGUCGACGCUUUAUUCUGGACAAUGAAGUGUAUGAUUGGUGCCGACAACCAAGAAGUAGGUUUUUCACAGACUGUUCAGACCUAAUGAAGAUGGUGUCUUUCCCAACCAAAUGGCCAGCAUUUUCAGCGUAUUUGGAGGAGUUUCAGAGCGAUAAGGAAGAGUUCACUUCUUUUUCUUUAUCUUUAAUUUCUCGUAAUGUAAAUGUCAAAGCGGAUAAUUUGGCACAAAAAAUUCUAAAUAAUGUAAACAACUUCCCUCUACAUUAUCUCGUUUGAGUCCUAAACAAUAUCUAUUGAUA